AAAGCUGAUCUCUCAGGUGUGAGCAGCACGCAUUGUUGAGAAAGAACAUUGCGGAGAUUCACACAGAACGGCAGGACCGAGCUAAGCUUUCCCGUAGGGCAGGUUUCAGUGGUUUCAAACAAGAAACUGCGCUACAUUUAAUAGAUUUAAAGCAAGACCCAUUGAUAGAGAUUAGAGUUGACAAAAAAUCUAUCGCAAGCAUAGGCAACUUUUUAAACGUCAUCGAGGGCAUCAAUACGCGCGCAAAAUGCAAUAUUAUUUCAAAUUCAUUUACUCAGUCUGUCUUAUAAUCAAUAUGAUUUUGAAUCCAUUAUCUUUUGGUGAGAUGUAUACGUCAUUAUUGAACGUCAAACAAGCCAUCAUUGUUGAAAGACAACUUAUUGAUCAUUUAGAAACGUAUAUUGAACACGAAUCGGAGAGACUUGAGUCGGAAGAACAUAUGCCAUUGAUGAAUCACUGGAAUGGAAAACCUCAUGCAUACAUGAUUGCAUGGUUGUCUCCCCUCUGUCCAUCUACCAUGGUAUCACCUUAGGGUGAUAUUCUCGCUAAACCUUUAGCACUUAUAGACUCUUUCUGCAGGUUUUAUGCAAAGGUGUCAGAAUUGCACAGUGGGGUGUACAAUGGACAAUCAGCUGCUAUGGCAAACCCCUUGGUGGCGUUUACUCUUAUCAAGCGCUUGCAGUCAGAGUGGAUUAAUCUGAUCUACAGUGAUGAAGCACAAGAGAACACCCAAGGUUGUUUCCCUUUAUGACUUAAAAAAAAAAAAAAUCUGGUCGACAUAACCUGGGACAUAAGUUUGACAAAGGUCCAUCCCCGCUUUUUGUGUUCUGUCGUCUAUAAUGUGCAAUGUAUGUGUUGUGUUGAGUGUGUAAUGUACAGUGUCUUUUGGGUCCUGGUCAAAAGUAGUGCACAAUAAAGGGAAUAGGAAUACAUUUGGAAGACGGACAAUGUCUUCCUCAUGAUGAGUCACUCCUCAAUGGAUCCUACUGUUUAUGUACAGUGGCAGUGCACACGGUGCACUGUGUGGGAGAGACAGUAUGGAAAAUACAUCAUAUCUGUUUAGGGAAGUCUAAGAAUGUGGAGUAAGGGCCUUUGCCUUCACUUGUGCUAACACCAGGAUUAUCUGACUGUGACCAUGUGUAAACAGAUGCUCCGUUUGGCAUGUUGCAUGCAGUAAUAGUUCUUCAACUGCACUUUUGUGGUGGCUAAAACCUAGUUGUUAAAACCAGCAGGGUUAUCUAAGGGUUAGCUUUAUUUCUCACAUUUCCAGGGCCCGUACAAAGCCUCAGUCACCAUCAACAAUCAUAGUACUACAUUUACUUUACAUCGCUCUCUCUUCUCUUCAGCUCUAGAUGUGAGAGAAUGAUAUUUACAAUACUAAAAAGGUGUUCACUCUUUCCUUCCAACAUAUAUUUUCAGGAAAAUAAUGUGUCUCAAUUUGUCAUUAUAAAAUGUUUCUGUUGUUUUCUAAUGCUAACAUCCUGUUGUUGUUUUUUUUUUUUUUUACCUUUAUUUAACCAGGCAAGUCAGUUAAGAACACAUUCUUAUUUUCAAUGACUGCCUGGGUUAACUGCCUGUUCAGGGGCAGAACGACAGAUUUGUACCUUGUCAGCUCGGGGGUUUCGAACUUGUAACCUUUCGGUUACUAGUCCACCGCUCUAACCACUAGGCUACGCUGCCGCCCCGUUGUAUAGUAGGUUACCUAUGAGCUGGAGGACUACUACCACUCAGUGCAGUGGCUGGAGGAGUCAGUGCGUCUGUUCCGAGGGGCGGGGGGAGUCCAGAGAAUGAGGGAACUCUGGAAGGUGCUCUGGAUCACUUGGCCUUCUCUCACUUCAAGACAGGAAACAUCUCCUAUGCACUGAGUCUCUCUCAGGAGUUGUUGAACCAUGUUAAGGAGAUCUGUGGUGGCAUCUGGAGAGGAACAGGCUACUGCAGAGUAUCGCAUCAGCAAGAGGUAGAGCGACGAGUCAAUCUGCAUUGAUCGGUUGAGGACUGCACAUCAAGUAGGAAUGACGCCACCUGUCAGAAGACAGAGUGUACAUAACAUCAGGUCGAGCUCAAACCAAGACAGUAACAUGAUCUGUAUUAUGAGAGUGUGUGUUUUGUUUUUCAGUGCAUGGCUAAAGGACACAGCCCACCCUAUCAUUGGGAGGCUGGACCAGAGAAUCACCUUACAUUUACAUUUACAUUUAAGUCAUUUAGCAGACGCUCUUAUCCAGAGCGACUUACAAAUUGGUGCAUACACCUUAUGACAUCCAGUGGAACAGCCACU